UACAGAGGUCCCAAGCGUUGUUCGGAUUCACUGGGCGUAAAGGGUGCGUAGGCGGUCGGGUAAGUCUGACGUGAAAUCUCCGAGCUCAACUUGGAAAUGGCGUCGGAUACUAUUCGGCUGGAGGAAUGGAGGGGAGACUGGAAUUCUCGGUGUAGCAGUGAAAUGCGUAGAUAUCGGGAGGAACACCAGUGGCGAAGGCGACUUCCUGGCCUGUUCUUGACGCUGAGGCGCGAAAGCUAGGGUAGCAAACGGG
rnacentral:rRNA from 1 species